GUUGAACAAAGAUUUAUCGGUAUGAGAUGGCGAUGCGUCCCAUUAGCUUGUUGGCGGGGUAACGCCCACCAAGGCAUCGAUGGGUAGGGGUUCUGAGAGGAAGGUCCCCCACAUUGGAACUGAGACACGGUCCAAACUCCUACGGGAGGCAGCAGUGAGGAAUAUUGGUCAAUGGGCGGAAGCCUGAACCAGCCAAGUAGCGUGCAGGAAGACGGCCCUCCGGGUUGUAAACUGCUUUUAGUUGGGAAUAAAACGGGGCUCGUGAGCCCCCUUGCAUGUACCAUCAGAAAAAGGACCGGCUAAUUCCGUGCCAGCAGCCGCGGUAAUACGGAAGGUCCGGGCGUUAUCCGGAUUUAUUGGGUUUAAAGGGAGCGCAGGCGGACCUUUAAGUCAGCUGUGAAAUACGGCGGCUCAACCGUCGAACUGCAGUUGAUACUGGAGGUCUUGAGUGCACACAGGGAUGCUGGAAUUCAUGGUGUAGCGGUGAAAUGCUCAGAUAUCAUGAAGAACUCCGAUCGCGAAGGCAGGCAUCCGGGGUGCAACUGACGCUGAGGCUCGAAAGUGCGGGUAUCAAACAGGAUUAGAUACCCUGGUAGUCCGCACAGUAAACGAUGAAUACUCGCGGUUUGCGAUACAAUGUAAGCCGCCAAGCGAAAGCGUUAAGUAUUCCACCUGGGGAGUAC
rnacentral:rRNA from 1 species